rnacentral:lncRNA from 1 species
CUGGACAUGUGACAUCCCUGCUCUCAGCCAGAGGCUCCUUCUGUCUCUAGACAAUGACAGCGUGAGAACAGGGCACCUGGUCCCCGGGGCUCUCCCAGACACACCUGCCUCCCCCUUCUCCCCCUUCUAAUCUACACAACAGCUUCGGUUUUCCCACAGAGCUUCCGGGGCCCUCCCCACCCUCCGGAGCAGGCUGGCAGCAUGACAGGUGACAAAUCAAAAGUCAUUCUCUGCUGAACAGAGCAACUGGUUUCAUAAGAUAAAGAAACUGAACCCCACUGAGGAUGCGGCCCUCCUUCCCUGGCCCUGCCCCUGGCCUCUGGGUCAGAAUCUAGGCCUCUGGACACAGCAGAGACUUCAAAUCUGAGCCCUGGACUACAUUGCUCAGGUUUGAGGACUCAGGUAGCUGCAGCCCUUCUUCCAGGUGUUUCCGUCCUGCAGAAUAUGUUUCCGAUGAUGACACCGACUCCAGUCCCAGGUGAGCCCAAACCCAAGGUGUCCCAGGCUGGCUGCUGGAGGCCUUGUCUCCCCUGCACACCCCUCUACACCCCUACAGGAUCAGAAUUGGGGGGCCCCAGCCUCUUCACUCCUUGGUGGUGACCUGGUGACGUUUCAAGUAGGAUUCGAGUGGUGGGAAGAGCCCCAUUUCCUCCCUGCUCCUCCCUUGGCCGCAGGUUGUCCGGCUUCUCUUGGGGAAACUGCCUCGAGGGCAGGGAGCCUUGGGAACAUCCACC